rnacentral:rRNA from 1 species
UAGAGUUUGAUCCCUGGCUCAGGAUGAACGCUAGCGGCAGGCUUAACACAUGCAAGUCGAGGGGCAGCGCGAUGUAGCAAUACAUUGGCGGCGACCGGCGCACGGGUGAGUAACACGUAUGGAACCUGCCCUUUACUGGGAGAUAACCCGGAGAAAUCCGGACUAAUAUCCCAUAACAAGCGGGGUGGCAUCACCUUGCUUUGAAAGCUCCGGCGGUAAAGGAUGGCCAUGCGCCCGAUUAGCUGGUUGGUGGGGUAACGGCCCACCAAGGCGACGAUCGGUAGGGGGCCUGAGAGGGUUAUCCCCCACACUGGUACUGAGACACGGACCAGACUCCUACGGGAGGCAGCAGUGAGGAAUAUUGCGCAAUGGAGGCAACUCUGACGCAGCCAUGCCGCGUGCAGGAAGAAGGCGCUACGCGUUGUAAACUGCUUUUAUCCGGGAAGAAACCCCUCCACGCGUGGAGGGUUGACGGGUACCGGAGGAAUAAGCACCGGCUAACUUCGUGCCAGCAGCCGGCGGUAAUUCA